UACGUAGGGCGCAAGCGUUGUCCGGAAUUAUUGGGCGUAAAGAGCUCGUAGGCGGCUUGUCACGUCGGGUGUGAAAGACCGGGGCUUAACCCCGGUUCUGCAUUCGAUACGGGCUGGCUAGAGUGUGGUAGGGGAGAUCGGAGUUCCUGGUGUAGCGGUGAAAUGCGCAGAUAUCAGGAGGAACACCGGUGACGAAGGCGGAUCUCUGGGCCAUUACUGACGCUGAGGAGCGAAAGCGUGGGGAGCGAACAGG
rnacentral:rRNA from 1 species